ensembl:lncRNA
CCUUUAUAUUGCCAUGGUGGCUUUGGGGACACCAGGACCCCGCCAUGGGGACACCAGGACCCCCUUAUAUGGCCGUGGUGGCUUUGGGGACACCAGGACCCCUCCAUGGAGACACCAGGACCCCCUUAUAUGGCCUUGGUGGCUUUGGGGACAGCAGGACCCCCCCAGGGCACACCAGGACCCCCUUAUAUGGCCGUGGUGGCCUUGAGGACACCAGGACCCCCCCCAGGGGACACCAGGACCCCCUUAUAUGGCCGACCCCCCCAUGGGGACAGCAGGACCCCUUGGUGUGGUUGUGGUGGCUGUGGGGACAGCAGGACCCCCCCACCCGUUGUCCCCAUGCCGCCCCUGUGCCCGGUGGGGGCCCAAACCCCGUCCCCGUGUGGGUGAAACCACCGCGGGGCGCUUUCACUUUCACUUUGGUGGUGGGCGGGUGCAGGUGGGGAAGGUUCCACUUCCGGGUUGGCGUCAGGUAGGAGCGGGAAAGGUUCCACUUCCGGGUUGGCGACAGGUAGGAGCGGGCGGGGAAGGCUGCACUUCCGGUUUGGCGGCAGACGGAGCUCCGGCUGUGCCGCGCCCAUGGCUCCCAGUACCACCAGUGCCACCACUGCUCCCAGUGCUCCCAGUACCACCAGUGCCUCCCACCCCCCCCGACCCCCGGCUCACACCACCCUUUCCCAGCGGCUGCAGUUCACCCCAUUGGCUCCCAGUUCCCCCCCCCGCUCCCAGUUUCCCCAGUAGGCCUCACUUCCCU